UCAGGUGUGACUACAACAGGUCACCUGCCUCUAUCUUACCCAAUCCCCAGCGUCCUCCUCUGUCCUCCAACUCUGCCUCCCCAAACCACACAUCAUAGCAGAACAUACCUCUACCUCUCAAGGCUCUCUUCCAACUGAUUUGAACUUUCACUACAGAUCACAGUGUCGUCUGCAAAGAAAAAAAUCGUUGUCCAUGGAGACUCCGGCCUAACUUUAUCUGUCAUCCUGUCCAUUACAGCUGUGAUGGAGAUGAUCUCUCAUGUAAUUCUAACCCCAUCUAUAUGCAAAUUGUUGUAUGAUGCGCCCAAAAAGCUUUCCAGGUUAGUUUUAUCCUAUCCUUCAUCAACCUCCUCUCCCACUAUCUCCAGAUUGUAGGCUUCUGGACUUGAUACAAAGUAAAAAGUCCUUAGCAUCCUCUUAUGUUUGCUUCCAGUCCUGAGGUCAGCCCUGUAGUGCCACAAUUCAAUUCAAAGGUUUAAAAUCAAGCCUGGUCAGCUACAGCAAGCACACAGCACCUAGGGAACCUUCAGAUCAUCAAGUCAUCAAUAUCGUUGCUGGCAUGUUUUCAAAAGACACUUUGACAUUCUUUCAAAUGUAAUAUUUGAUUCUUUUUCUCAUUUUAACUGUUUUGGUGUUGUUGGUAAAGUCCCAGUGACAGAGGAAUUGUCUAAAGCAGUCUGUAUCCGUCUGUCUAUCCAUUUAUGGGUUAUAAAUCUCACUCAAAGAGCUGAGACAGACAAGAAUUACAUCUGCAGGUGAUGUAGAACUACCAGUUAUCCCAGACUAGAUGACAGGAGAGAAAGAAAAUUUGACUUUUAUAUUAAUGCACAUUAGAGCAACAGAAGAAUUUCAGUUGUCAGGUAAUAUGAACUGCAUUCUGGUAUUUAUGGUUCACUGAUCUUUUGAUUGUUACCAUAUGCACUGUGUGGAAAAAGACAUUAUGUGGGUUUGCAGUGUCUUAAAUUCCCUUUUUUGUAGCUGGAAUGGAUGGAACUUCAUGCGAUAACGUCUUUAAGAGGUCUUGAAGAUGCUAUGAGCAGUCUAAAGAACCUGCACAUUAACUUGAAUGUUGUUUUUAACAAGUUCUGUGUUCUGCUGUCUUGUGUAUGUUGUCUAAACUUGUGUUAUAUGAGAUACUCUCAGAGGAAUUGGUCAUGGGGAUAUAAUGCUAAGUACAACACAAUGCUCAGUAAAUUACUAUUAACUACUGGGCAUGGCUGCUGACUACCGGAUAGUAAUGACAGUAUUGAUUAGGCUUGCUAGGGUAAUGCCAGUGCAAUUUUCCACUAAUAUCCAUGAGUACUUUUAUGGAAUAAAUGCAUAUUGUCCACAAUUUAGUCACAUAAAUGCUAAUUUAUUUCUUUUAUCACAACAAACUGAUUUCUACAUACAGUGCCUCAUAUGUGAAUAAAAUAAGGAUCACCUCAGUUUCUAGCAUCUGCAGUGCAUCAGCUUCUCGUACAAUGUUUCCAGCUCUGCAGCAGCACAGAAAAAAAGCUUAUACAGACACUUGCAAGGGGUAAAACAUUUAGUCACAAAGCAACAACAACAUGACAACUAAAUGACGCUAAUGAAGGCAAGCAGGAACUAGAGCAAAGCAUUUGAUGGGUCUCACAAUGUUAACCUUCUAUCCCUGUCCCACUUAUCAUCCAUCA